rnacentral:rRNA from 1 species
GGGGGGGGGGGGGGGGGGGGGGGGGGGGGGCGGGGCGGGGGGGGGAGGGGGGCUGGCGCCUGGGUGCAGGGGCGGGCGGGUGGGUAGUGCAGGGAUCUGCCUGGUAGGGGGGGAUAACGUCCGGAAACGGGCGCUAAUACCGCAUACGUCCUGAGGGAGAAAGUGGGGGAUCUUCGGACCUCACGCUAUCAGAUGAGCCUAGGUCGGAUUAGCUCGUUGGUGUGGUAAAGGCCUACCAAGGCGACGAUCCGUAACUGGUCUGAGAGGAUGAUCAGUCACACGGGAACUGAGACACGGUCCAGACUCCUACGGGAGGCAGCAGUGGGGAAGAUUGGACAAAGGGCGAAAGCCUGAUCCAGCCAUGCCGCGUGUGUGAAGAAGGUCUUCGGAUUGUAAAGCACUUUAAGUUGGGAGGAAGGGCAGUAAGUUAAUACCUUGCUGUUUUGACGUUACCAACAGAAUAAGCACCGGCUAACUUCGUG